AACCGCGGCUGGGUCAGCUGAUCCAUCACCUGUCCUGAGCAAGAUGGCAGCCUCCAUACUGCGGCGCUCGCUUCUAAUUCCGCGCUGCAGAGCUGGGGAUGUCGCCGCCCUGCACAGUGGACCGAGCCGGAGAAGGGCGCAGGCCCCAGAGCCCAUCGCUUCUGGCCGGAGAGCGGGGAAUUGUCCUGCGGGAGAGCGCGGUGUUGCUCCAUGGGUAGCAGUGGUAGGUCUGGAAAUUCAUGCACAGAUCAGUUCCAACUCAAAGCUUUUCUCUGGCUCCCAAGUCCAGUUUGCAGCACCACCUAAUUCUUUGGUAUCUUUCUUUGAUGCUUCUCUACCAGGGACCUUACCAGCUCUCAACAGGAGAUGUGUAGAAGCAGCAGUGAUGACAGGCCUUGCACUGAACUGCAGCAUAAACAAGAAGUCCUUGUUUGACAGAAAACACUAUUUCUAUGCAGAUCUGCCUGCUGGCUAUCAAAUCACUCAGCAGAGACUUCCUGUUGCUGUGAAUGGGAGUCUUUCAUACAGCCUCUGUGUAGGGGGAAAAAAGAACCAGAUGGUAACCAGGACUGUGAGGAUCAAGCAGAUCCAGUUGGAACAAGACAGCGGAAAGAGUCUUCAUGAUGACAUAAGGAGCCAGACUCUCAUUGAUUUGAACAGGGCUGGUGUUGGCCUCAUGGAGGUUGUCAUGGAGCCUGAUAUGAGCUCUGGGGAAGAGGCAGCUGCAGCAGUCAGAGAGCUUCAGCUUAUUCUUCAAACACUUGGGAGCAGCCAGGCAAUCAUGGCAGAGGGUCAACUGAGAGUGGAUGCCAAUGUAUCUGUGCAUCACCCCGGAGAAGCUUACGGAGUAAGGACUGAAGUGAAGAAUAUCAAUAGUGCACGAUUCCUGGCAAGAGCAAUAGACUAUGAAAUACAGAGGCAAAUCAAGGAACUUGAAAAUGGAGGAACUGUUAUGAAUGAAACCAGAGCCUUUGAUUACAAACUUGGGUGUACCAUACCAAUGAGAGAUAAAGAAGGAAAACAGGAUUAUCGGUUCAUGCCAGAGCCAAACCUCCCUCCAUUGAUUCUGUACGAUACUAAAUCGUUGCCCGCUAAUACGAACCAUCAGCAAGUGGUGAAUAUUGAUUGGAUUCGGGAGAGGCUUCCUGAUCUCCCCAGUGUGAGGAGAGUGAAGCUUGUUGAACAGUAUGGGAUUCUGCCUGAACACAGUUUCACCUUAUUGAAUGAAGACGGAUUAAUGGAGUUCUUUGAAAAUGUAGUGAGACAGACACAGAUGAAUCCAAAGAAAGUGAUUGGCUGGAUUCUAAAUGAUAUGCUUGGUUAUUUAAAACAAUACAACCUUAAAGUCAAGGAAAGUCCAGUCAGUUCUCUCUUCCUGGCUGACCUUCUAAAUCUUCUAGAGAGAGGAACAAUUUCUUCUUCAGCAGCCAACCAAGUGCUUGAGGAAUUGUGGAAGGGGGAGGGGAAGACCCCACUUCAGAUUGUUAAAGAAAAGAAACUUGGACUUAUCCAGGAUCAGCAAGAGCUUGAACAGAUCUGUCAGGCAGUGAUGGAAGGACAUCAGGAAGAGGUUAUGGAGAUAAAGAAGGGAAACCAAAAAGUUCUGAAUAAACUGAUUGGACUGGUUCAAAGAACAACAAGAGGGCGAGCAGAUCCUGUGCUGGUGAAACAAAUAUUAGAGAAGAGGUUGUCACAGUAACUUUCAGAGCAACUUGCACAGGUCCCUACAGAGGGAAUGACUGGACAUUCCCUGGACUUUGUACAGUUCAAUUCCAGCCUGAGCUAGAAAAAGAUACUGUGUAGUCUCAGCAUGGAACAGAAUUAUUAUUCCCUUUCGGUGGUUAUUCAGGUAGUAUCUUGUUAUACAGUUUCCUUGAAUACUUCACCCUCUGUCAGGACAAAAGAAAAGAUAUUCAGUGCAAAUGAAUAGCAGAAGCUAGUAUUGAGUGCUGUUCACUUUUCCUGUAGCUGGUUUUGCACACAUGAGAAAGCUCCAGGUUGUGCCAUCUGCUCCCUCUGGCUCGUGCCCCCCAGUGCUGCUGCUGCUAGAGCCAUCUCUACUGCUCCCAACAAAGCCAAGAAACAUGCCAGCUGCUUCCAGGAGCAGCGUGGGGCCUGGGCAGGCAGGGAGCCUGCGUUAGCCCCGCUACGCUGCCAGACUUCUACGGCCGGAGAUCGUGAUCGACUGGCAGAGGCUCCAGGAUCGACCAGUCAAUUGCAAUCUACCGUUGGUUACCAUUGCUCCAUAGACUUCACUGGAGUUACUCUGGAUUUACACUGGUUAACUGAACAUAAUCUGUCCCAUUUGCUUAAUUGGAAUUUUGCAGGUUUUGGCUCAACAGAUCUUAUUUUUGGUGAACUCUCUCUCAAAUGUUAGUUUUGAAAAUGUGACAAGAUGCAUCUAAUGUAUUGCAGCAUUAAUAUAAUAUUGAGACAUAUAGUACUUACUGUUAAUUGUAUUAUAAGUACUGUCACCUAGGAAAAAAGGGUGUAUUUAUUUCUUACAUGCCAGGAUACUGACACAGAACACUGAAAAUGAGGCUUCUUUUUAGAAAUCACACUGUUUCAAGUUAUAAGUGACAUGUUGGCAAAAUAUAACAGCAUUAUGACAUAGCUAGGCCUUCAUAUGAAAGCUGAACUCCAAAAUUCUGAUUUUAGGAGAAAGACUUUUUGCUCUGACCAAGUUAAAGUCUAAUCUCUAGCCCAGGUUGUGUGUCUGUUAAAAAAUGCUGAAAAUAUAAGAGAAAGUUAUAAGCAUCUGUCUUGAGAACAGGAACUUUUCCUCUAUGUGCAUGGCUGUGAAUGUGCAGUUGGUGUUUUUCUAUUAUUUCAGUUAUAUAUUUUUGCUAGCUUUGCAUUUUCUAAAUUAUUUUUUGAGUUGGGACUUUUGCAGAACAUUUGAGAUAAUGUCUGUGCACCAACCCAUGACCUCAAACAUCUCAAAAUACCUAUUGACUGGCAAUAUAUUUUUGGAUCCAUGGACUUGCAGACCCUGAAAUUACUAGAAUAGGGAAGUUCUUCAUUUGUAUAAAGAAGCCCUAAUCAAAUCCCACUGGGUGAUACCAGUGACAUCAGAACAGGAGUGGACCCAUUCCGAUUUGCCAAAAAACUCAUGAGGAAAAGUCCCAAGAGGCAGGACCUAGCUAGGCCACAAUCUUCAACAACCAAAGGAAAAGAAGUGCCAUUGCUGACCUGUUUGCCUGGUGCAGCAGCUCGUCUCUAGCCAUGCAACGCAUGUCUAAAGAGGAGGCCAGUGCUUCCUCUACCCUCCCAGCUGGCCACCGAGGGAGAGAGUCCAGCAACACUGCAAUACCGGAGUUUUGACAUCUACAAACAAUUAACCUCAAACCAGCCAGCAAGUCCAUCAACACUCAUUUGAGCCGAAAAAAAUAACCUGGUUAAUCUUUCCAACCAUGUACCAGCUUCCUGAAGCUGAAUGUAGCUUUUGUGGCUUCAGUAACUAUCCUGCAUGACUAGCAACCUUUUUGGGUUCUAUUUUCUUUUCCCAAUUUUUAUUAGUAGAGGGAAGCUUCUAAUUCUCUACUUCUGUAUUCUUGCACUUUUUAAUUUUACCACCACCAGAGGGAACAUGUCCUGUGUACAUGCACAGGAGUGUGUGUAGACAGAACCCAUAGAAUUUUUCUGAGAACAGUGCCUAUAGAAUAGUUUUCAAACACCUAGCCCUUAGAUAAUACAACCUAUUUUAAAUACAAUAUAAUACAACAUAUCUUAAUGUAUACUUGAAUCCUGAGAAAUGUUAUUUUUACAUAAAAGUCUUGUUUGCUAGUCCAACAUAGCAAGCCAUGUCAUCUUGAAAAAUCCUGGAAUAUUUCAUGGAACUUUACAUUGGGAGGGCAGAGAGAAGAGGAAGAGAUUGACUAUCACCUAAAUCACCUGUAAUUUUGGCAUACUGCUCUAGUUGGCAUCAGAGCUGUAGUCUCAACAUUAGCUCUAAACUAGGAGUGAUCUGACCCUCCCCAUAUAAGCUAUGGAGCUGGAAUCACAACUGCAAUGAGUAAGGAUCUGUUACUUUUAGGGCUAACAACUAAACAAGAUUGCUGCCUUCCCAAAUUAUUAAGCUAAUGCUUAUAAGGAACUGUUGGUUUAUUUGAUAUAUUUUAAUCAUACCAGUAACAAGAUUAAUUUGAUGAUUGAUAUUAACCUCUUUUCAUUUAAUUUUGCUUAUAUGUAUUUUAUUAUAUACUUUCUAUUAAUUUAGUUUAAUUAAUAAACUAUAUAAAAU